GGGGAGGGGUAUUUUGRAAUUCAUUCCCACCCAGGAGAGGGGUCUGGCAUUGGCAACGCGUUCACAAGCAAACAAAAUGGCGGGCAUGAACGGUGUAGAUCGAUGGUUUUCAUAAAAAAAUAUGGCAAUAGAAGUGAGUUUAAGUGAACUUAACGUCUAUCUGAGGUACUGCAGUAUUUCUUUAAACAAGAUGGACAGAAAGAGCUCUCUAGGCAUAUGAUUUGUUUGUGAUAUUCUGGGGACGAUACCUUCGAUCAAGUCACACUGUGUAAAAAGCUGACAAAGCUUGCAUUAACCUGGAAGAUAUAAACAGUAUAACACACAACCGUGCAGGAAAUAUCUUUUUCAUGGAUGAGAAAAUUGAAAAAGUACAGAACAAAAUAAUAUUGCCUGGUGGGAGUUUAAGCAAGUCUCUAGUUGUCAGAUUUCUAGGCUGSCAUACAUUUGUAGCUUGAACAUGGUUCACAUUAUUUACAAGGAAUUCCCAUACAUGAUACACAGUGCUGAAAUCAAAGUUUAUCUAUGUUAUGUAAUUUCCACAAUUUCUGGACAGGAAUAGAAAGCUCUCAAGAUUUUAAGUCAGAUUGUUAUUUUUACUAGAAGCACAGGAAGCCCAAUUAGAAUAAAUGAUUGUAACUAUUAA